UACGAAGGGGGCUAGCGUUGCUCGGAAUCACUGGGCGUAAAGGGUGCGUAGGCGGGUUUUUAAGUCAGGGGUGAAAUCCUGGAGCUCAACUCCAGAACUGCCUUUGAUACUGGGUAUCUCGAGUCCGAGAGAGGUGAGUGGAAUUCCGAGUGUAGAGGUGAAAUUCGUAGAUAUUCGCAAGAACACCAGUGGCGAAGGUGGCUCACUGGCCCGAUACUGACGCUGAGGAGCGAAAGCGUGGGGAGCAAACAGG
rnacentral:rRNA from 1 species